rnacentral:rRNA from 1 species
CGACCGGCGCACGGGUGAGUAACACGUAUCCAACCUGCCGAUAACUCGGGGAUAGCCUUUCGAAAGAAAGAUUAAUAUCCGAUAGCAUAUCAAGAUCGCAUGAUCUUGAUAUUAAAGAAUUUCGGUUAUCGAUGGGGAUGCGUUCCAUUAGUUAGUUGGCGGGGUAACGGCCCACCAAGACGACGAUGGAUAGGGGUUCUGAGAGGAAGGUCCCCCACAUUGGAACUGAGACACGGUCCAAACUCCUACGGAAGGCAGCAG